CCUACGGGUGGCAGCAGUGAGGAAUAUUGGUCAAUGGCCGCAGGGCUGAACCAGCCAAGUCGCGUGCGGGAUGACGGCCCUACGGAUUGUAAACCUCUUUUGUCAGGGAGUAAAGGGCCCCACGUGUGGCGUUUUGCGAGUACCUGAAGAAAAAGGACCGGCUAAUUCCGUGCCAGCAGCCGCGGUAAUACGGAGGAUGCGAGCGUUAUCCGGAUUUAUUGGGUUUAAAGGGGGCGAGGGCGGAAUGUCAAGGUAGCGGGAAAAUUUCGGGGUCCAACCCCGUCGUGCCGUGGAAACUGGCGUUCUUGAGUGCGCGAGAAGUAUGCGGAAUGCGUGGUGUAGCGGUGAAAUGCAUAGAUAUGACGCAGAACUCCGAUUGCGAAGGCAGCAUACCGGCGCUCAACUGACGCUCAUGCACGAAAGCGUGGGUAUCGAACAGGAUUAGAUACCCUUGUAGUC
rnacentral:rRNA from 1 species